CCUGGCUCAAAACAAUUAAGCAAAACAAAAAUAUAGGCAAGAGACUAAACAUCUGCAUAAUUAGGAAAGUGGGUAGAAAGCUCCACCCAUUCAUCUUCCUCAAAAGAUUUGCUCUACUGUUAACUUGGUUUUGCAAAAUCCUCCUUCGCUUCGACGCUCAUCCUCAACUAUCAGCUCAAAGCUCCAUCUCUAAGGUUUCCAAGUCUUAAUAGUUAGAGCUACAUAUCGGAAUUGGUAGAUCUAUUGUUUGGAUACUCCUACCAUUAACACCCCAAGGUCUCACUGGGUAUAGGUGUUUGCAUCCAAUGGAAUCACUCCGAACACAAACUUUGUAAACAUGGUCAAUGUUCUACGUCUUGAUUCAAACCAUCGGCAACAUUUUCCAGAUUUACUAACAGAAACACUGAGAUCACCAACUAACGGAUGUAGAUGCCCAUAAACAGGAACUUCCAACAUCUACAGUAAGUUACCCUACUGUUACUGUUUUGCAUAUCCCGUUACAAAAAUAUUGUUGUAUCUUCCUUGAAUUAUGAUAUCAUGAGUCUUGAUUGGAUCUUCUGAUGUGUGGUGUUCCUGCUUUAUCUAAAUUUAGUAUCCUUCUUUCUGUUGUUGGAAUUUCACCAAAGUAAUUAAAUUGAAAAUCACCUACAAAAACAAAAACUAGGUUAGUAAAAAAAUCAGCGAGAGUAUUACCUUCCUUAAAGGAAUGUAUUCCUCUAACUGGUAUAUUACACAUUAGUGCUCUUAUAGAGUUGACCUCCAUUGUCACACUCCAUGGGACCUCCCAGUUUCCCUGAAGAAUUUGCACCAUAAUCCAAGAAUCUGAUUCUAUAAUGAUAUGUUGGAUAACAUUGUCUUUACAGUAGAGUAAGCACUCUCUUAUUGAUGUAGCUUCUGCUUUAAGGCUGGUAGUGUCCUUAAUUCUUGAGCCUUUUGCAACUACCAAGUCUC